rnacentral:rRNA from 1 species
GGCCAAGUUUUUAAGGGCGCACGGUGGAUGCCUUGGCACCAGGAACCGAUGAAGGACGUGGGAGGCCACGAUAGUCCCCGGGGAGUCGUCAACCAGGCUUUGAUCCGGGGGUUUCCGAAUGGGGAAACCCGGCAGUCGUCAUGGGCUGUCACCCGCUGCUGAACACAUAGGCAGUGUGGAGGGAACGCGGGGAAGUGAAACAUCUCAGUACCCGCAGGAAGAGAAAACAACCGUGAUUCCGGGAGUAGUGGCGAGCGAAACCGGAUGAGGCCAAACCGUAUGCGUGUGAGACCCGGCAGGGGUUGCGUAUACGGGGUUGUGGGAUCUCUCUUUCAUGGUCUGCCGGCCAUGAGACGAGUCAGAAACCGUUGAUGUAGGCGAAGGACAUGCGAAAGGUCCGGCGUAGAGGGUAAGACCCCCGUAGUCGAAACGUCAGCGGCUCGUUUGAGAGACACCCAAGUAGCACGGGGCCCGAGAAAUCCCGUGUGAAUCUGGCGGGACCACCCGCUAAGCCUAAAUAUUCCCUGGUGACCGAUAGCGGAUAGUACCGUGAGGGAAUGGUGAAAAGUACCGCGGGAGCGGAGUGAAAUAGUACCUGAAACCGUGUGCCUACAAGCCGUGGGAGCGUCGGAAUGAAGACUUGUCUUCAUUCUCGUGACUGCGUGCCUUUUGAAGAAUGAGCCUGCGAGUUUGCGGUGUGUUGCGAGGUUAACCCGGGUGGGGAAGCCGUAGCGAAAGCGAGUCCGAAUAGGGCGAUUUUAGUAGCACGCUCAAGACCCGAAGCGGAGUGAUCUAGCCAUGGGCAGGUUGAAGCGGAGGUAAGACUUCGUGGAGGACCGAACCCACCAGGGUUGAAAACCUGGGGGAUGACCUGUGGUUAGGGGUGAAAGGCCAAUCAAACUCCGUGAUAGCUGGUUCUCCCCGAAAUGCAUUUAGGUGCAGCGUCGUGUGUUUCUUGCCGGAGGUAGAGCACUGGAUAGGCGAUGGGCCCUACCGGGUUACUGACCUUAGCCAAACUCCGAAUGCCGGUAAGUGAGAGCGCGGCAGUGAGACUGUGGGGGAUAAGCUCCAUGGUCGAGAGGGAAACAGCCCAGAGCAUCGACUAAGGCCCCUAAGCGUACGCUAAGUGGGAAAGGAUGUGGAGUCGCACAGACAACCAGGAGGUUGGCUUAGAAGCAGCCACCCUUGAAAGAGUGCGUAAUAGCUCACUGGUCUAGUGAUUCCGCGCCGACAAUGUAGCGGGGCUCAAGCGUACCGCCGAAGUCGUGUCAUUGCAGCAUAUACGGCCAACGCCGGCUGUGAUGGGUAGGGGAGCGUCGUCUGCCGGGUGAAGCAGCACCGGAAGGUAGUUGUGGACGGUUGACGAGUGAGAAUGCAGGCAUGAGUAGCGAUUCACACGUGAGAAACGUGUGCGCCGAUUGACUAAGGGUUCCUGGGUCAAGCUGAUCUGCCCAGGGUAAGUCGGGACCUAAGGCGAGGCCGACAGGCGUAGUCGAUGGAUAACCGGUUGAUAUUCCGGUACCCGCUGUGAAGCGUCAAACAUCGAGCAUCGUGAUGCUAAGGCCGUGAAGCCGCCCCUGAUCUCUUCGGAGUGAGGGGGAGUGGUGGAGCCGCCGAACCAAGCGGUUAGUAGGUGAGUGAUGGGGUGACGCAGGAAGGUAGUCCAGCCCGGGCGGUGGUUGUCCCGGGGUAAGGGUGUAGCCCGUCAUCUAGGUAAAUCCGGGUGACAUGAGGGUGAGACCUGAUGCCGAGCCGAUUGUGGUGAAGUGGAUGAUCCUAUGCUGUCGAGAAAAGCCUCUAGCGAGUUUCAUGGCGGCCCGUACCCUAAACCGACUCAGGUGGUCAGGUAGAGAAUACCGAGGCGUUCGGGUGAACUAUGGUUAAGGAACUCGGCAAAAUGCCCCCGUAACUUCGGGAGAAGGGGGGCCACAUCCGGUGAUGAGCUUUGCGCUCUGAGCUGGGGGUGGCCGCAGAGACCAGCGAGAAGCGACUGUUUACUAAAAACACAGGUCCGUGCGAAGCCGUAAGGCGAUGUAUACGGACUGACGCCUGCCCGGUGCUGGAACGUUAAGGGGACCGGUUAGUCACUCUUCGGGGUGGCGAAGCUGAGAACUUAAGCGCCAGUAAACGGCGGUGGUAACUAUAACCAUCCUAAGGUAGCGAAAUUCCUUGUCGGGUAAGUUCCGACCUGCACGAAUGGCGUAACGACUUCUCGACUGUCUCAACCAUAGGCCCGGUGAAAUUGCACUACGAGUAAAGAUGCUCGUUUCGCGCAGCAGGACGGAAAGACCCCGGGACCUUUACUACAGUUUGAUAUUGGUGUUCGGUUCGGCUUGUGUAGGAUAGCUGGGAGACUGUGAAGCGCUAACGCCAGUUAGUGUGGAGUCGUCGUUGAAAUACCAGUCUGGUCGUGCUGGAUGUCUAACCUGGGUCCGUGAUCCGGAUCAGGGACAGUGUCUGAUGGGUAGUUUAACUGGGGCGGUUGCCUCCUAAAGAGUAACGGAGGCGCCCAAAGGUUCCCUCAGCCUGGUUGGCAAUCAGGUGUUGAGUGUAAGUGCACAAGGGAGCUUGACUGUGAGACCGACGGGUCGAGCAGGGACGAAAGUCGGGACUAGUGAUCCGGCGGUGGCUUGUGGAAGCGCCGUCGCUCAACGGAUAAAAGGUACCCCGGGGAUAACAGGCUGAUCUUCCCCAAGAGUCCAUAUCGACGGGAUGGUUUGGCACCUCGAUGUCGGCUCGUCGCAUCCUGGGGCUGGAGUCGGUCCCAAGGGUUGGGCUGUUCGCCCAUUAAAGCGGUACGCGAGCGUGGGUUUAGAACGUCGUGAGACAGUUCGGUCCCUAUCCGCUGUGCGCGUAGGAGUCUUGAGAAGGGCUGUCCCUAGUACGAGAGGACCGGGACGGACGAACCUCUGGUGUGCCAGUUGUUCUGCCAAGGGCAUGGCUGGUUGGCUACGUUCGGGAGGGAUAACCGCUGAAAGCAUCUAAGCGGGAAGCCUGCUUCGAGAUGAGGACUCCCACCUCCUAGAGAGGGUAAGGCUCCCAGUAGACGACUGGGUUGAUAGGCCGGAUAUGGAAGCACGGUAACGUGUGGAGUUGACCGGUACUAAUAGGCCGAGGGCUUGUCCUC